rnacentral:rRNA from 1 species
AGUGAACGCUGGCGGUAGGCCUAACACAUGCAAGUCGAACGGCAGCACAGUAAGAGCUUGCUCUUACGGGUGGCGAGUGGCGGACGGGUGAGGAAUACAUCGGAAUCUACUUUUUCGUGGGGGAUAACGUAGGGAAACUUACGCUACUACCGCAUACGACCUACGGGUGAAAGCAGGGGAUCUUCGGACCUUGCGCGAUUGAAUGAGCCGAUGUCGGAUUAGCUAGUUGGCGGGGUAAAGGCCCACCAAGGCGACGAUCCGUAGCUGGUCUGAGAGGAUGAUCAGCCACACUGGAACUGAGACACGGUCCAGACUCCUACGGGAGGCAGCAGUGGGGAAUAUUGGACAAUGGGCGCAAGCCUGAUCCAGCCAUACCGCGUGAGUGAAGAAGGUCUUCGGGUUGUAAAGCCCUUUUGUUGGGAAAGAAAAGCAGCAGGUUAAUACCCCGCUGUUCUGACGGUACCCAAAGAAUAAGCACCGGCUAACUUCGUG